UACGUAGGGCGCAAGCGUUGUCCGGAAUUAUUGGGCGUAAAGAGCUCGUAGGCGGCUUGUCACGUCGGGUGUGAAAGCCCGGGGCUUAACCCCGGGUCUGCAUCGAUACGGGCUAGCUAGAGUGUGGUAGGGGAGAUCGGAAUUCCUGGUGUAGCGGUGAAAUGCGCAGAUAUCAGGAGGAACACCGGUGGCGAAGGCGGUUCUCUGGGCACGUCCUGACGCUGAGGAGCGAAAGUGUGGGGAGCGAACAGG
rnacentral:rRNA from 1 species